ACCCCCAGUUUUCCCAGCACAUGCAGGUGGCGGAGCAACACGGCUCCACUUCAAGAAGGCGGCGGAGGAGAAGGAGGAGGGGAAUGGUUUUCCAAUUUCGGAACCUACAGAUGUUUUGAACUUCAGCUCCCUGGUUCCCUUUUCUCUGGCCAUGCCGACUUCCGGGAGAAACAUCUGGAGAAAAGAAAGACUGAAAACCACGUCUUUCCCGUGUCUAUUGGGUGCGAAACUGCCAGCAAUAAAAGGAAAUAAAACGUUCAGAACUA